GGUUCGGUCAAAUGACCUACAUCUACUUGCGAAGCCUUCUUUGAUGAGGCUCCCAACUUCCACUAGCAAAUCACUUUGAAGGGGAAGGACCAAAUAUCCCUCUUACAACCUUUUUACAAGUGGUUCACACUCUUAAAGAUUUUUCAAAGAGAAAGAGGGAGGUGAACACUUAAGCUAUUGAAAACAAGACUUUGCUAAAGCUUUUUCUCAAUUUCUA
rnacentral:lncRNA from 1 species